AAAGUGGCAUCUGAGUCUUGGUGUCGCUAAGCCAGUGAAAUGAGAUACUGCAUUCUUUGUGAAUCAAUGCUUGUCUGAGUCCUUUCUGCCAGGGACUUGUUUUGUAGCCUAGAGUUUUUUGCAGGAUUCAGAAAAAGAGGUACAAGUCUUCUAUUUGGUGAAAGUAUAUGUGAUUUUGGCAUGUCCUGUGUUGGGAAGAUAUAUCAAAAGAUGUUUCCCUAUUCCUACCAUCAAAGUUACUUGUGAGUAUUAUAUUUGAUCCACUCUGUCACAUGAGUAAUUAUUAAUGAGUUUAUUCUAUUUAUCAACUUGAGUCUAUUACAAGAAAAUAGCUUGCUUGACACCUCACAGUAGCAUAGAUCAUUGUAAGUUCUAAUUAUUUAGGGGACACAUGAUUUCGCUAAAGAACAAAUGACUAUUAGAAAGAAAGCAUUUUCAGUAAUGGUAGAAGUUUUUGAGAGGCAUGGCGCCACAACCUUGGAUACACCGGUCUUUGAAUUGAGAGAAGCUCUCAUAGGAAAAUAUGGAGAAAUCUCAAAGUUGGUUUAUGAUAUUGCUGAUAAGGUUUUAUCGGUUAUUCACUUCUUAACUACUUAAGUUGUUUUAAGAAUAUUUGGGAGAAAUAUUUUUUUACAGCAUUCAAAUAAAUGAAAUUUUUUAACAUUUUUUCUCUAUAAGUGAAACAAGUUGUUCAUGAAUCUAGAUUUCUGCUUUUUAAGCCAGACCGCCAUUAAGGAUUUGUUUGCACCAAAUCCAUAGAUAAAGUUAAAUUUCACCUCAUGCUAACUGGUAAUCAACUUGUU